UCUCCUCAGACGACAAUCAGCAGAGCGCCAUCUUGAAGACGAGCCGCUUGCUGUUCACUCGUUAGCUCCCUGAGGCUAACGAAGCCUCCAAAAGACGCCCGGAAUGAUUUCAGUGUAACACA